rnacentral:rRNA from 1 species
CUCCUACGGGACGCAGCAGUGGGGAAUAUUGCACAAUGGGGGAAACCCUGAUGCAGCAACGCCGCGUGAGUGAAGAAGUCAUUCGUGAUGUAAAGCUCUAUCAGCAGGGAAGAAAAUGACGGUACCUGAGUAAGAAGCCCCGGCUAACUACGUGCCAGCAGCCGCGGUAAUACGUAGGUGGCAAGCGUUGUUCGGAAUAACUGGGCGUAAAGGAUGCGUAGGCGGUUAAACAAGUUAUAUGUUAAAU